UUGGAUGCACCUUAGGGAAAAUGGAAGCCAAAUUUACCUUUAAAGAGUAUUUUCAAAAUAAAACUUUUUGUUUCGGGAAAAAAAAAAAAAAAAGCUGUCACAUUUGAAGGUCUGGGAAGAUGGAAAAAGUUUACAACAUAAAAACAACUGAGGACUGAGCAAGCAUUCUGCCCUCAGGAAUCUCUUACCAGCCCCCUCUCCUGGAAAGCUCUCUCUAAGUGCAGCCCUCCUCUUACCAUGUCAACCCCCUACCCCCCCCCCCAAAAAAAAGUCCUUUUUCAUUUUUUAUGUUUUUCUCCCUUAAAGCCUCACCUAGAGGUUUCUUCUUUUUUAGCCAUCUUAUUUUAUAUUUUGAGUCUAUGAGGAAAACCAUGGAGAAUGAGAGGUUAGCCCAGAAUGGGAACUGAGCAUUAAAACUGGUUUCAACUGUUUGUGUUUAAAUCUCAACUAUUUCCUUUCUCUUUUACUUUGUGUACAAUACAUGAUAUGGCUUGUGUGGAGGCAAAAUUACAAACAUCUACAAAGUGCAAGGCUGUGAAGUAAGGGAAGCUCUCGAGGGCAGUGGUUCUUAUUUGUCACUGCCAUGUGCCUGGAGCCCAGAAUGGUGCCUAGGACACAGGCAGGGUUUAAUGUUUACUGAAUCAAGUGUUAAGUGGGGAAAAAAACGUUCACUCACAACCCAGAGACAGAACCAGGAGGAUAUUUGGGGAAAGGCAAGUCCUCUAGUUUGGUGGAAUCUUGAACAUACAAAGGGUAUUGAGUACUGAGGGGACAAGCAUGUUGGGGCACAGAAUGUAAUGGAUGAAAAUUUUUGGCUGCUUUACAUUCAAGUCUUUAAAAAGACAAUUUUACAAAAUCUAUCAUGCCAUGAAUUCCUUCUAGUUUUCUGCUUCUCUUGAAUUACCAAUUUUUCAUCAAUCCAUGAUGAAGCGGACCCUCACUGGUAGAUUGCGUAUUUGCAAACUGGGCUCCUCUUUAAGAUUUUAUUUCUAACCCCUUUGUGUUCGUUCUUGAGUAUGCACAGAGUGGUGAAAAAAGUUGCCUGAUAUACUACCUGAGGUCAAGCAAGGCCAGGCAGGAUCUGCCCCCUUGUAUCAGCUGUCAUACUCUAAAAAAGAGGCCUUCAACUUUUUGUUGGUGGUUUCAGGGUUUAAAAUGGCAACCCCCCCCACCCCCAGCACAGUGCUGAAGUGAUGUCUAUGGUGCCUAAAUGCAAGAAGGCAAUGAUGGGCCCUACGGAGAAAAUAUGUGUUAGAUAAGCUUCAAGCAUGAGAUGCAUACAACAACCUAUAUAAAGAGCUGCUGAAGGGGGGUACCUGGUGGCUCCAUGGGUAGAGCAUGUGACUCAACCUCAGGUUUGUAAGUUCAGGCCCCAUGUUGGCCGUGGAGCCUACUUAAAGAGUCACUGAACUUUUUAAGCAGGGAAAUGACAUGAUCAAAUUCCCAUUUUAGCACUUUGGCAGCAGUGUGGAGAAUGGACUGGGGACAAGGAGAUAAGAGUGGAAACAGCAGUAGCAGCAGGACCACUUGAGAACUAAGGGACUUGGAGUGGGGUUAAAAGGGGCAGGAGACCAGGCUUACUCUCAGGCUUCUGUCUUUGGUGUGAAAAGACAAACGGAUCACGUUAAUCACCAUCCCCAACCCUGGUAAGGACACAGUGGGGAAGAGAAAAUUGGGUGGCUCCACUUGACAGCUGCCCAAACAUGUACAGGUUCAAGAUGAGCACAACUCAUUUGGCAGUUUCACUGUAAGAUCUAGGAAUUCUCUUCAAAAACAAAGUGUAUUUGUGGUUUAUAAGGUAUUUCCAUAUUGUCAGACUAGGUAAUGCAAACCAAUGCUCCCCCUGAAAAGAGCUAGGAAAGGGGUUCAAACUAUUUAAAAAGAAAUCUGCUUGAAGGCACUGGGAAGCUAAUAAGGCAUGUGAAAUUAAGGGGCCAAGGCUACGAUUUGGAGGAAGACAACUCUGAGAAGUAAGCCUAGUAUUUGAGGGUCAGUUUUCCCCAUGAGGUAUCUUCAAUAUGUGGAAAAUAUAGCUGCACAGCUGAGAAACUAGAAACAGUGUGAAAACCUCUUGGGGAAGAUGUGACAAAAAAACAGAAUCCAGGGCCUUUCAAGGAAGGGGAGCCCUGGUAAACAUCUGUGUGUGGACUGGGACCCCAAAGGGCAACCCAAGGGUAACAAUAAGACAGAAGUGGAAAUAUAGUCCUUGUGGUCACUGAUGCCCACUCAAUCUGUUUUCAUACAAUUUGAGACUCCAAGCACCCUCACUGCCUGCUAGAAGCAAAAGUAAAUCCUUUCUGGAAGAAAACACUAUCCAUGGCAGGGGUGAACAAACUCCUUCUCCGAAGGACAAGACGGUAAAUAUUUUAGGCUUUGUUGGCCAGAUGGUCUUUGACACAACACAGCUUUGCCAUAUUGCAAAAGCAGCCUUGGACAAGAAAAAUGAAGGAGGCAUGGCUGUUUUUGUAAAACAUGUACAAACACUGAAAUGCAAAUUUCGUACUAUAGUCACAUGUCACAAAUAUUUCUUCUGAUUUAAAAAAAAAAAAAAAAAAACAUUUAAAGAGAUAAAAGCCACAAAACAGACACUAGCUCCGGGCUGUAAACUCCUAAUCUAGAGUUUUAAGUUUUUUUCUGCAAUUUUUCAUAUAAACCAAAACACAAUCAUAACUUGAAGACAUUCUUUUUUUUUAAGAUUUUAUUUAUUCAUAGAGACACAGAGAGAGAGAGGGGGGGGGGGCAGAGACAGAAGCAGGCUUCAUGCAGGGAGCCCAACAUGGGACUCAAUCCCGGGUCUCCAGGAUCACACCCCAGGCUACAGGCGGCGCCAAAUCGCUGAGCCACCGGGGCUGCCCCCCGACUGCCCACUUUAAAACAUUCUAUUAACAAUAUAUUCUAGGAGCACCUGGCUGACUCAGUUACACAUCUAACUCAAUUUCAGCUCAGGUCAUGAUUUUAGGGUUGUGUGAUUGAGCCUCCUGUUGGGCUCCACACUGAGCGUGAUGGAACCUUAAAAUUCUCCCUCUCCUUGUCCCCACCUCCACCCAUCUCCACCAUGCUCACGGGCAUGCUCUCUCUUAAGUAUAUAUAUUUUAAAGAGUCCACGGGUUAAAAGUAGAAAUCAUAGUGGAAACUUGAAAAUAUUUUGCACUUAAUGAAAAUAAAAAUACCAUGCUAUUGAAACUGUGGGAAACAGCUAAAGCUAUGCUCAGAAGAAAUUUACAGCCUUCAAUGCAUCUACUGGAAAAGGAGAAAGGUUGGGGUCUGGGUGACGGGAGAGCAUGCAACUCUCAAUCUUGGGGUUGUGAGCUUGAGCCUCACAUUGGGCACAGAGUUUACUUUAAAAAAAGCUCAAAAUCAGUAAACACAUCUAUUUCAAGGAAUUAGAAAAGUAAUAGCAAAUUAAGUCCGAAGAAUAAAGCUGGAAGCCAGUAAUUUAGGUAAUGGCAUCAUUCAUGAAAAAGAGACAAUCAAUAAUAUCAAGUGAAUGGCCUAACUAAAUGUGAAAGACAAAACUUCUGGAAAACAGCAUAAUAGAAUAUCAUCAUGCACUUUGUAAAUGAAAAUUUCAUAAAAUCCAAUAUUAGGGCAGCCCUGGUGGCUCAGCGGUUUAGCGCCGCCUUCAGCCCAGGGCGUGAUCCUGGAGACCCAGGAUCGAGUCCCAUGUUGGGUUCCCUGCAUGGAGCCUGCUUCUCCCUCUGCCUGUGUCUCUGCCUCUCUCUGUGUGUCUCUUGUGAAUAAAUAAAUAAA
rnacentral:lncRNA from 1 species